GGUUUGGGGUGAAAGGGGGCUUUUUUGGGUGGGGGGGGGGAGGCAACGGUGCCCAUUUCCAGUGGCCACUGGCCCCGCUCCAGCUCCUCCCGUUACAAAACGUGCCCUUGACCCGUCCCCGCGGCGCGUAAACAGCUCCCGAGGGGGGGUGACAUGGGGGGACGGGGACAAGGGACACGUCGUCUCCCUGCCCCCAGGCCCGGCCGGAGGGGGACAGAGGUGGCUGGGGGCGAGGGGGGGGGCCACAGGGCUCCAAAUUGUCCCCCAAAACCCAUCUCAGGGGUCCCAGGGCACCAAAUUGUCCCCAAAAACACAUCUGAGGGCUCCAGGAUGACCCCAAAACCACAUCCAAGGUGUCCCAGAGGGUCCAGGUUGUCCCCAAAAGCACAUCUGAGGGGUCUGGGUUGUCCCCAAAACCAUGUCCGAGGGGUCACAGAGCUCCAGAUUGUCCCCAAAAACCCAUCUCAGGGGUCCCAGGGCACCAAGUUGUCCCCAAAAACACAUCUGGUUUGGGGUGUCCCCAAAACCACAUCCGAGGUAUCCCAGAGGGUCCAGGUUGUCCCCAAAAGCACGUCCAAGGGGUCCCAAGGCUCCAGAUUGUCCCCAAAACCAUGUCCGAGGGGUCUGGGUUGUCUCCAAAAACUCACACAUGGGGUUACAGGGGUCCAGGUUGUCCCCAAAAUCAUGUCCGAGGGGUGGCAGGGCUUCAGGUUGUCCCCCAAAACCCAUCUGAGGGGUUAUAGGGGUCCAGUUUGUCCCCAAAAGCACGUCCGAGGGGUCACAGGGCUUCGGGUUGUCCCCCAAAACACAUCCAGGGGGUCCCAGGUUGUCCCCAAAACCACGUCCGAGGGGUCACAGGGCUUCGGGUUGUCCCCAGAAACACGUCCAAGGAGGUCACAGGGGCCCAGGGUGUCCCCCAAAAACCUGUCUGAGGAGUUACAGGGCUCCAGGUUGUCCCCAAAACCACGUCUGAGGUCACAGGGCUCCAGGGUGUCCCCAAAACCACGUCCAAGGCAUCACAGGUCUCCGAGAAGUCCCCAAAACCACAUCCGAGCUGUCACAGGACUCCAGGUUGUCACCAAAAGCCUGUCUGAGGCGUCCAGGUUGCCCCCAACACAUCCGAGGGGUCUGGGUUGUCCCCAAAAGCAUGUUCGAGGGGUCACAGGUCUCCAGGGUGUCCCCAAAAUCACAUCCAAGGGGUCGCAGAACUCCGGGUUGUCCCCAAAAAUCCAUCUGAGGGGUCACAGGGCUCCAGGGUGUCCCCCAAAAACACAUCCAAGGUGACACAGCAGUUCCAGGUUGUCCCCAAAACCACAUCCAAUGGGUCCAGAGUGUCCCCAAACCCACGUCCCAAGGCCCCCCACCGAGCCUCCCCCCUGCCCAGGGGCUGUCCGGCUCCAGUAGCUCCAGUUCAGGACUGGGAACAGCGAGACCAGAGUCCUUCAAGAAAAAUAAGGGGGCCACCAGCGUCCCCCGAGUGUCCCCAAGGGGCAGGGGACACUGUCCCUGUCCCUCCUCACCCCUGGGGGGGGGGGGGGGGGGGGAGAGGGGGGGGCUUCGAGUCGAUAAAAGCAGACGAUUAAAAUAAAUUAAAAGCUCACGGAGGGGCCCGGGGUGGG
ensembl:lncRNA